rnacentral:rRNA from 1 species
GAUGAACGCUGGCUACAGGCUUAACACAUGCAGGUCGAGGGGAAACGACGGGGAAGCUUGCUUCCCCGGGCGUCGACCGGCGCACGGGUGAGUAACGCGUAUCCAACCUGCCUCUGACUGAGGGAUAACCCGUCGAAAGUCGGCCUAAUACCUCAUGGUAUCGUCUGCGGGCAUCCAACGACGAUUAAAGAUUUCAUCGGUCAGGGAUGGGGAUGCGUCUGAUUAGCUUGUUGGCGGGGUAACGGCCCACCAAGGCUACGAUCAGUAGGGGUUCUGAGAGGAAGGUCCCCCACAUUGGAACUGAGACACGGUCCAAACUCCUACGGGAGGCAGCAGUGAGGAAUAUUGGUCAAUGGGCGAGAGCCUGAACCAGCCAAGUAGCGUGCAGGAAGACGGCCCUAUGGGUUGUAAACUGCUUUUAUGCGGGGAUAAAGUGAGGGACGUGUCCCUCAUUGCAGGUACCGCAUGAAUAAGGACCGGCUAAUUCCGUG